AACUCCGCGGCGGCGGGCGGCCACGUGACUGCAGCUCCGCUCCCACCUCGGCCCGCGCCCCUUCCCCGCCCCGGCUUUCUUCCCGCCAGGCCCCCUCCACCCGAUCGCCGCGCGCUCUCCGAACCAAAAGGCGACCUCACGAAAUGCCUCUUUGAGCUCAAAGGCUAGUUACCCCCAGGGGCCCUUCCACUCUCGGGGACAGGCAAAACCUCUUUGUCUCUGCCUCGGCCUGCGGCCCCCAGCCCAGCCUCCGCGCUUUCCCUCCGCCAGUCCUUGUCAAUCAAACCUGGUGCCAAACGCGGCAGCUGAAGUUUUCAGGGACACAUUUGCUUCUCCCCUUGAAGAACCAGUUACAAAGCGUGAUGUCCUCUCUGGGGUCCCACCAGAACAAAGAAACAGGCUGUACAAGAAGCAUGAUGCCAGCAUCUGCUUCUGGUGACAACCUCAAGAAGUUUACAAUUGGCCGCGUGCGGUGGCUCAUGCCUGUAAUGCCAGCACUUCGGGAGGCGGAGACAGAUGGAUCAUUUGAGGUCAGGAGUUUGAGACCAGGCUGGCCA
rnacentral:antisense_RNA from 1 species